UUCCCUCCAUGGCGCUGGUUGUAUACUGCGCGCAGAUGCGAAGAUGUGGGCGUUCGCGGCGGCGGUUGUUGAGCGGAAGGGCCUCCACGGUGGAUGUUCUGCUCCAAGACGCAGUGCGCGAGAUCGAGGACCAUGAGAGGACGCUAGCCAGCAGCCUCCGUGGCCGUCAGCUUGAAACCCUAGCCGCCGCCGCUCGUUCUUCUCCUCCGGCAUCCUCUCCCCACCGGGGCGUUCUCGUUCGAGGAGGAGCGCCCCACUCAAAUCAGUGCCGCCCCUCACCACCUCCAGCGCCCACGGAGGCUCCAACUGCAACAUGGAUCAAGGAAGGCAUGCUCCGGUGGGGAAGAAGUGCGCUCAUGCUCUCAGCUCUAGCACCCGUUCCAGGAGCUCCCUCUUCUCAUGCUCAUGCUCCUGCCCUAGUCGUUCAUGGGGCCUUGAACCCCACCUGCAGGUUCCUGUUGUCUUUGCUGUGUUUGUCUUGGAUGAUCUGGGUGUUGGUAAACUUUCUGUGGCUGCUCUCACCACGGAUCUGUAGAUGCAUAGAGACUUACGUCAUGAGAGUAAGUCUCGAUCAAGAAAAGGGAUUAUGGCUAUGACUGGGUUGUGGAAGGUUUUGGUUUUAAAGGUAGAGCACGCUUUGCAUGAACUAAUACACAUGAUUUAACCACCAUUCGUGCUAAAUAACAUAUUAGCCGACGAGUUGCGCGUGCUGAGCUUGUGACACCAUCGGAAUUCAGAAUAUGUGUGCAUUAUGUUUCGGUAUAAACAGAAUCAAGGACCAGAAAUUUAUGACUGAAUCGGUCUGACCCAUUGCCACCCAAUACUGUCCAGCACCACUAGUGCAAGAAGUAGAACACUACCAUAGCUCAUUGAGUUGUACCUUGAUUUCAGCUGCAAUUUAUACGACAUCUUGACCUCCCUUUCUUAUAAAUUUCACGCCACAACAAGCUCUGGAUGAUGAAGUGCAGAUCUUGAUGAUGUGUUCUACCUGACUAAGUGCAUUUUAUCUCUGGGUUGCGGUUUUAUAUUCUCUGGAAACAAAAACAAAGAUAAAGAAGCACUCAAGGAUGUCUCAGUUGCAGAGAUAGGGAUUCUUCUACUGUCUUCUUCACAUCCCUUCAGAAAGUUCAGGAUGCAAACUUAUCUGGAGCUAUACAAUCGAAAGCCUGUAACAAGGCAGAGAAACAAACUCAAGAUGCUCCUAGUCAUAGUAAGGUGAUUUUGUUACAUACGGAGUACUUUGUUUCAUCUUUUUUGGCAUGUAUCAGGUUUCAUUUUUUCAUUGUGCUAAUAUGGACAUCCAUGUAGGCAUGCUGGAUAACUUAUUGCCAUUUUUUGACAUUCCUUCAAUUAGGCAAAAUGAAUCUUAAGUACUAGAGACAUCAAGUGAAUGAUUCACACAACCCUGGAAAACUUCGGACACUGGUUCUUCCUCUUUUUCUUUGCAUUCGAUCAUUUGCCAGUUUUAUCUAUUUAAGUACUCGAAACUUGAUUGCAGAAAAUAUUGAUAUUUCGUGAACUGAUGGUAUCCUAGAAGCAUAGAGUACAUUUGUGAAGGUGUUAUGUGUUCUCAUCCUCCGUGCCGAUUCUUAUUAUACAUUUGUCGGCCAGGGUUGAAGCGGUAUAGCAUCAUGUCAUGAGUCUUGCGCGUCCACCUGCUCCUCCUCGGUAACUCCGCCCUGCUUCUUAUGUGGCUGUUUUUGGCAAGGGGAUUAAUCCAUAUUCACCGAAGAGACUAGAAAGGACACCAAGCUGAGGAUCGGCGCCGCUGAUUUGUAUUGCAUUGGCUACUGGAGAUGGCACGAGAGGGCACAAUGACAUAAGCAAUG